rnacentral:lncRNA from 1 species
CAAUGGAGCCGAAACUGGUUAAUUAUUUAUUUGUUGUCCUGUGUAAUUGAUUGUUGAAUUUACUGCUUUAAAUACAUGAUAAUAUACUAGAAUGAUUGAAUGAUUCAAUUGUGCUUCCUUGAUAUAUAUAUUGCUUGUCUUGCGUGAUUUACGAUUGAUUUGUGAAAUUAAAAAUUAAUAUGCAAACGGAAAAUUGAUUGGUCACGUGAAUUAAUGAAUGGUAACCGUAUUGGAUAUCAUGG